UUCCUGAAAGUGAGAGAUCAGAUCAUACCUCCGUAAAUGCUAAGCAACUGAAAACUUAGAGGCUGUUUUUGAACAUUUUUCUUGAGCAUUUGAUCUUUAGUUGAGCAUUGGUAACCGAAGCCAAGGGAAGAAAAACCAAGCUCCUGUUUGUAGCCUUGAGACACCUGUUACAUUCACUCCAUCUUUGCUGCAAGUGUUAAAGAAAAGGUCAACAGGAAGGCAGGAUUGUUGUUGGAGCCCCGUUUAAAUUCAUCAGUUGACUUAUUGAAGUGUUACACGUGCGGCUGGAGAAGGGGGAUCAACAGUUAAGAGGGCUUGACCUGGGUUCAGUUUCCAGCAUCCACAUGAUGGCUCACAACAGAUGGCAGUGGAGAGUCCAGAGGAAGCAUGCCUUCUUUGCAUCAAGAAGCCCUGUGAAGGAGCUGCAGCCCAGGGCUUGAGGAGUUGGUCUGCAAAGAAUUAAGCAAGGGAAGAAUAAAGGGAAGGGUGGCAGCCAGAUCUGCCGCCCAGGAAGCUGAGAAACCAGAGGUUCCUUCACUAAGGUAAUGGAAUCACACAGUCUAUGGCAGGAAACCCAGUAUCAUGUUUGCACUGAUGAAGUAGGCUAACAGAGCCAAUCUCACUCGGCACCAUAUGGACAGGUCCUCAGUUGACUUCUGGGUGCUGAGGUCUAGCAUGUGCAAGUCUUUUGCCACCCAGCCCACCAGGAUGAAGCACAGAGCUGUGACAUUGACCCCCUGCCACACUGAGACUGCUCUCGUGGAGGAAAACCUCCGUUUCCUGACUGUAUCUGAGGGGCUGAAGCAUGGGAGAGGCUGCAGGCUCUUUACAAAGGAACUGUGGGAUUCAAGCAGUCCUGGAUGUAUCACUUAGCAAUAUGCAUGUCCUGCUGCUGUUAUGAACUGAACAGUGAUGUCCCCAAACAUACAGGUGUUCCGUCAUAGCAACAGGAGAAGUCGUGAGUACAAGCUUCAAGGAGAUCAUUACAGGCUGAGCAGGACCUAAGCUAAUACAACCCACGCCAUCAGAAGAAGAGACACCAGGAUACACAUGAACAAAAGGAAGGCUACACAGAGUGAAAGACACUGUCUCUAAGAUGCACGUGCAUGCGUGCACAUACACACACACACACACACACACACACACACACACACACAGAGAGAGAGAGAGAGAGAGAGAGAGAGAGAGAGAGAGAGAGAGAGAUCUCUAGAAACCAGUCCUGCAGAGAACUUGACCUUGGGCUUCUAGUCUCCAAGACAGAAAGAUAAGACAAUGGAUAUCUAUUGUCUGUUACAACAGCUUGAUCUGGCAAAUCCACUGCCCAAAUGCACAGCUUCCAUUUCUCAUUUGGUCAUUACAAGGGAAACUGAAACCUCACAGGUGACAGGGGCCUACAUGAUAUAUCCUUAAACAUACUUCUUGCUUUAUUAAUCUUUAAUUAAAUUGCUUUAUUAAUCUUUAUGUCCAGGGCAAGGAUUUUGAGCAAGUUCUUUAUGUACUGUUGAGACUUCAGGGCUUAAACAUUUUUCUGGAUUUUGUGGGUAAGGAUGCAUGCCUCAUGCUUCCAUGGUUGAUUCAAUGCCAAGGUUAAAAAAGAAGCGUGGCGAAACGUUCUCACUCUGUGUAUUCACACGUUUGGUUCGCUUUCUGCCUCAGCUCUGAGCAUCUGUACUUUGGCAUGUGGAGUUAUUUCUUUCUGAUGGCCUUCUUGAAGAAUGUACCACCUAGCAAUGCAGUAGGAAAGCUCUCCCUGAGCAGAGUGCAGAGGGAAUUUUAGAACGGACUCUUCUAUUAAAUGCAUAGAAGCCUUUAAUGUCUGCAGUGACUUGUUUAGCCAGUGAUUUUGGAGCUGCUGAAAGUUUUAUGAGCAAUCCCUCCCCAAGGUUUUUGCUAUGGCCCUUCAGUUGAGCUAGGCAUUUGCUAGUUGUGGAUGAGUUUUCCUCUUGGUUCAGGAGGAAGAGAUGAGGUCUGAUGAGAAACCAUCAUGCAUCUGAAUAAGAAAACAGCCAGAGCUGGGACUGGAGUGGGACCCACGUAUGGAUCAACCUUGCUUGUGUUGAUCUGCCUAUCAUUCAAGAAAGGCUUUCACUGAGACUAGAACUCAGAGCUCACCGAGGCUGAGAUGUGUGCGCAUCAGAGGAAAAAAAUCCAUUUAAAAAUGACAUCCAUCAUUCAUCAAUGAGGACAGAGCGUUAGGCGCCACAUCCCCAUGCCGAUGAAGACUCGCUGUGUCCGGUGUGACAGUCUGCUCACCUCUGCUCACUGCUGCCUCCUUCUGGUUUGAGUCAGGCAGCUCCAGCUGAGGUCCCAAUAAAGACUUUGCCUAGUUGGUAAUAGGUGA